UAGGGAAUAGUAUAAUGGAAGUACGGGGGUUUUUGGAGCUCCAGAUGUGGGUUCGAUUCCCAUUUUUCUAU
rnacentral:tRNA from 1 species